rnacentral:rRNA from 1 species
AAUGAACGCUGGCGGCAGGCCUAGAACAUGCAAGUCGAACGCCCUAGCAAUAGGGAGUGGCGCACGGGUGAGUAACAUGUGGGAAUAUGCCUUUUGGUACGGAACAACGUUUGGAAACGAACGCUAAUACCGUAUGGUCCCUACGGGGUAAAGAUUUAUCGCCAAAAGAUUAGCCCGCACUAGAUUAGCUAGUUGGUAAGGUAAUGGCUUACCAAGGCGACGAUCUAUAGCUGUUCUGAGAGGAAGAUCAGCCACACUGGGACUGAGACACGGCCCAGACUCCUACGGGAGGCAGCAGUUAGGAAUAUUGGACAAUGGGCGCAAGCCUGAUCCAGCCAUGCCGCGUGAGUGAUGAAGGCCUUCGGGUUGUAAAGCUCUUUAGCCGACGAAUAUAAUGACUGUAGUCGGAGAAUAAGCCCCGGCUAACUUCGUGCCAGCCGCCGCAGUAACAC